GCACUGCUGAGGAGUCCCAUACUAGGACGAAACGGUCAGCUGUCCAGUAC
rfam:Schistosoma curassoni strain Dakar, Senegal genome assembly, scaffold: SCTD_scaffold0002839